UACGGGGGGGGGCAAGCGUUGUUCGGAAUUACUGGGCGUAAAGGGCUCGUAGGCGGCCAACUAAGUCAUACGUGAAAUCCCUCGGCUUAACCGGGGAACUGCGUCUGAUACUGGAUGGCUUGAGUUCGGGAGAGGGAUGCGGAAUUCCAGGUGUAGCGGUGAAAUGCGUAGAUAUCUGGAGGAACACCGGUGGCGAAGGCGGUUCUCUGGGCCUUACCUGACGCUGAGGAGCGAAAGCGUGGGGAGGCAAACAGG
rnacentral:rRNA from 1 species